CCCUUAGAUGUUCUGGGCCGCACGCGUGCUACACUGAGUGGAUCAGCGGGUCAGGUUGCGCGAAAGCGUUUCCUAAUCUUUAAAUCCGCUCGUGAUGGGGAUUGACGGUUGCAAUUUUCUGUCAUGAACGAGGAAUACCUUGUAAGCGCGGGUCAUCAUCCCGCGCUGAAUACGUCCCUGCCCUUUGUACACACCGCCCGUCGCUCCUACCGAUUGAGUGGUCCGGUGAAUAAUUCGGACUGACGCAGUGCUCAGCUUCUGGACGUUGCGUCGGAAAGUUUCAUGAACCUUAUCACUUAGAGGAAGGAGAAGUCGUAACA
rnacentral:rRNA from 1 species